rnacentral:rRNA from 1 species
AGCGAACGCUGGCGGCAGGCCUAACACAUGCAAGUCGAACGAAGUCUUCGGACUUAGUGGCGGACGGGUGAGUAACACGUGGGAACGUGCCUUUAGGUUCGGAAUAACUCAGGGAAACUUGUGCUAAUACCGAAUGUGCCCUUCGGGGGAAAGAUUUAUCGCCUUUAGAGCGGCCCGCGUCUGAUUAGCUAGUUGGUGAGGUAAAGGCUCACCAAGGCGACGAUCAGUAGCUGGUCUGAGAGGAUGAUCAGCCACAUUGGGACUGAGACACGGCCCAAACUCCUACGGGAGGCAGCAGUGGGGAAUCUUGCGCAAUGGGCGAAAGCCUGACGCAGCCAUGCCGCAUGAAUGAUGAAGGUCUUAGGAUUGUAAAAUUCUUUCACCGGGGACGAUAAUGACGGUACCCGGAGAAGAAGCCCCGGCUAACUUCGUGCCAGCCGCCGCGGUAAGAC